UUCGAAGGGGGCUAGCGUUGCUCGGAAUCACUGGGCGUAAAGGGUGCGUAGGCGGGUCUUUAAGUCAGGGGUGAAAUCCUGGAGCUCAACUCCAGAACUGCCUUUGAUACUGAGGAUCUUGAGUUCGGGAGAGGUGAGUGGAACUGCGAGUGUAGAGGUGAAAUUCGUAGAUAUUCGCAAGAACACCAGUGGCGAAGGCGGCUCACUGGCCCGAUACUGACGCUGAGGCACGAAAGCGUGGGGAGCAAACAGG
rnacentral:rRNA from 1 species